AAUAGGUCACCAGAGGCACUUAGUGCCAAAAUCAAUACACAAAGACAAUAGAGUUGCUACGUGGUACAAUGUCAAGGAUUGGCUCCUAUUUCAUAAUACUUUAGAAUACCACCAAUUUCUUGUUCAAUUUGAGUGACUAAACAAUAAAUAUGGUUGGCACAUCAAUGCAUAAUCACUCUCCAACCUGGUUAUAACACAAGUUAGAACAAGUACUCCACUUUCCAUUGCCAAAAAUAUUUCCCAUCAUUGCAUUCAAUUUAAUAAGGGG
rnacentral:lncRNA from 1 species